rnacentral:rRNA from 1 species
CGGGCGGCAGCAGCAGUGGGGAAUAUUGCACAAUGGAGGAAACUCUGAUGCAGCAACGCCGCGUGGAGGAUGACACUUUUCGGAGCGUAAACUCCUUUUAUAUAGGAAGAAGAUGACGGUACUAUAUGAAUAAGCGCCGGCUAACUCCGUGCCAGCAGCCGCGGUAAUACGGAGGGCGCAAGCGUUACUCGGAAUCACUGGGCGUAAAGAGCGUGUAGGCGGAUUAAAAAGUCAGAAGUGAAAUCCUAUAGCUUAACUAUAGAACUGCUUCUGAAACUCUUAAUCUAGAAUAUGGGAGAGGUAGAUGGAAUUUCUGGUGUAGGGGUAAAAUCCGUAGAGAUCAGAAGGAAUACCGAUUGCGAAGGCGAUCUACUAGAACAUUAUUGACGCUGAGACGCGAAAGCGUGGGGAGCAAACAGGAUUAGAUACCCGCGUAGUC